rnacentral:rRNA from 1 species
GGAUGAACGCUGGCGGCGUGCCUAAUACAUGCAAGUCGAGCGAACAGACGAGGAGCUUGCUCCUCUGACGUUAGCGGCGGACGGGUGAGUAACACGUGGAUAACCUACCUAUAAGACUGGGAUAACUUCGGGAAACCGGAGCUAAUACCGGAUAAUAUAUUGAACCGCAUGGUUCAAUAGUGAAAGACGGUUUUGCUGUCACUUAUAGAUGGAUCCGCGCCGCAUUAGCUAGUUGGUAAGGUAACGGCUUACCAAGGCAACGAUGCGUAGCCGACCUGAGAGGGUGAUCGGCCACACUGGAACUGAGACACGGUCCAGACUCCUACGGGAGGCAGCAGUAGGGAAUCUUCCGCAAAGGGCGAAAGCUUGACGGAGCAACGCCGCGUGAGUGAUGAAGGUCUUCGGAUCGUAAAACUCUGUUAUUAGGGAAGAACAAAUGUGUAAGUAACUAUGCACGUCUUGACGGUACCUAAUCAGAAAGCCACGGCUAACUACGUG